CAUAUCAGUCAUGUGAUAUGUGUUGAAAAGUUACAGCUCUAUUCCUUUCUUGUGUUCCCUUCUUUUAGCCUCUGGAGGAAACUAUUCUGAGGAUGUUCAGUCAUUUUACCAGCCUAAUAAUGGUAAGUGAACCACUUCACAUAACUAAAAAACUAUCAGGUCGGACAGAUUUUAAAUGUGCUUUGUCUGAGUUAUAGCAAUCAUAGUUUAUGUUUUGUGUUCUCUCAUUUUAGACUUUUGUGGAAACUUCUUGGCAGAGCUAGAGUCAACAGAUCUCUGUAAUGAUGACUUUCCUGGCAAUCACCAUCAACACCCCCAGGGCUAUACAGACAUUGCUGCCAACCAAAACACCAAGAUGCUAACGGAGCUACUCAUGGAGGUGAAGCAAAUGUCACG